AUGCUCUGCUCCGACUACUUCGCCGAUGCUCCACUUCAUGGCGAGAGAACAUUUCGGCGCCGUUAUCGGAUGAGCCGAAAGCUCUUCCUCAGGAUUGUGAAUUCCAUCCGGGAGUUCGACAACUACUUCAAGUGCAAGAUGGAUUGCACUGUCGCUCUUGGAUUCACCUCCAUCCAGAAGUGCACGACAACGAUGAGGAUGCUUGCAUAUGGAGCUCCCAGUGAUUCACUCGACGACUAUGGGCGCAUGGCCGAGUCCACCAGCAUAGAGUGUUUCUACAAGUUCUGUCGGGCAGUGGUGACAGUGUUUGGGCCACAAUACUUGAGAACACCCAAUGCGGAAGACACUGCUCGGAUCCUAGCCCAGAAUGCAGCAAGAGGAUUUCCUGGGAUGCUUGGAAGCAUCGACUACAUGCAUUGGCAAUGGAAGAACUGCCCAUUUGGUUGGCAGGGGAUGUACAAAGGCGCCAAAGGCGGUUGCAGUGUGGUGCUUGAGGCGGUAGCCACACAGGACCUCUGGAUUUGGCACUCCUUUAUUGGUAUGCCAGGAACUCACAAUGACAUCAACGUGUUGCAGUGCUCUCCUGUUUUUGCCAAGCUCGUUGAGGGUCAUUCUCCUCCGGUGAACUUCGAGAUCAAUGGGCACCAAUACAACAAGUGGUACUAUCUAGCUGACGGCAGCUAUCCGAGAUGGUCGACAUUUGUAAAGACGAUCUCAAACCCUGUGGCAGGAGGCAAGAAUGCCUGGUUUGCGAAGGUUCAGGAGGCUUGCAGGAAGGAUGUCGAGCGGGCAUUUGGUGUGCUCCAAUCUCGAUUCGCUAUUGUUCGGUACCCCGCUCAGACCUGGUCAAAAGAUCAAAUGUGGGAUAUCAUGACUUGCUGUGUCAUCUUGCACAACAUGAUCAUCGAGAGCGAGCAAGAAGACCCAUUGUUUGACACUGAACCAUACUACAGGCAGGGUCCUUUAGCUGAAGUUGAUCACCAGCUACCGGCAAGUUGGACUGCCUAUCUCAGUAUGCGUCAGGAGAUCCGAGACCCACAGGUGCAUCAUCAACUGCAGAAAGAUCUGAUUGAGCACCUAUGGAGGCUCAAGGGGGACGCCGCGUGA
rnacentral:rRNA from 1 species